UGCGCAAAGCUGCAGUGUUGAUCUUUGCUAAUAAGCAGGACAUGAAGGGCUGUAUGUCUGCGGCAGAGAUUUCCAAAUACCUGACCCUCAGCUCCAUCAAGGAUCAUCCCUGGCACAUCCAGUCCUGCUGUGCGCUCACUGGAGAAGGGCUGUGUCAAGGUUUAGAGUGGAUGACCUCAAGAGCCGGGCUCAGAUAGCCUCUGAUUCUUCUUGUUGGACUGAUGAACAGCGAUUUCCACCUCCUCUGGUGGCACUGCAGGCUCAUCCCAUUGGCUGCUCAUGUUUUAUUUUUAAUCUCGCUCUGCAGCUGAACUCUCUGGACACCUACCUCAGCUGGGAUUUAUCAGUUACAUGAAUCUGGUUUGACAGUCUUGUCGAUCAAUAUUAAAUCAGGAGCGACUGGAUUUUUGUUCUGGGUGUAUAUCGGAAGAUCUUCAAAGUCGAAAGUAUUUCAACUUAAAGAGAGGCACUACAGUGCUGGUGUGUGUUUGUGAGGAGGGACUGUGUUUUUAACACUGACAGUGGAACAGAAGUUCUCCAAAUAAGUAUAUUAAGCUAAUCGUGUGUUUCUUUAAAUCUACUGGGAAGAAAUGAUUUGAAUGGUCUAAAUGUUACUUUUUCACAUGGGGAAUCUUUGGGUAAAUUGUUGUCAUUGUCUGGUUGUUUUUGGUUAUGCUUUUGGGGUAUCAAAUGCUUAAAGUGCCAUUGGUACCCAGCAACACCACCACAUAUCAUGAAAACACCUGAGCAUAUCACUUAGUACACAUUACCUCAAUCAUUAGUUACAGUAGAAGGUGCUGUUACCAUUUCAGACGUGGCCAUUACAGCUUGAAAUGUCCUUGAUGUGAGAUGCAAUUUAAAGAAAGGGGGGGAGGGGGGAUGUGUUAAGAUGCAGCAGUUGGCUGGAUUUAUUGUAAUAUCUGUUACAGGUGUUUUAAGUAACCAUUCGCCUUGCUGGAGUGUGGUUAUAGCAUAAAGGUCCUUCAGUUAUUAUGAGGAAAUAAUGUUCAAAAGGAACACAGUAUUAUGAUUUUUAAAAUCUG